AUGAUGUUGUCGUGUCGUUCUAUGGGUAUAUUGACCCAACUCAUCAAGAUAACAACAUCUAGAGGCCAUACACUACUCAUCUGGACACUAUUUCAUCAACCACGUUUCAUUAUAUUACAAAUGACUAGCAUGUGCAAAUACAGGUAUCUGUCAAAGCGAUACAGACAAUUAGGAUUCAUAUAG